UACAGAGGGUGCGAGCGUUGUUCGGAAUUACUGGGCGUAAAGCGCGCGCAGGCGGAUCCUGCAAGUCUGGAGUGAAAUCUCACCGCUCAACGGUGAGGCUGCUUUGGAUACUGCGGAUCUGGAGACCGGUAGAGGCUGGUAGAAUUGCAGGUGUAGCGGUGGAAUGCGUAGAUAUCGCUUGGAACGCCAACGGUGAAAACAGGUUGCUGGGGGUGUGCUGACACUGAGACACGAAAGCCAGGGGAGCAAACGGG
rnacentral:rRNA from 1 species